UACGAAGGGGGCUAGCGUUGUUCGGAAUUACUGGGCGUAAAGCGCACGUAGGCGGACAUUUAAGUCAGGGGUGAAAUCCCGGGGCUCAACUUCGAGCUGUCGGUGGAAACUUUCUGGCUAGAGUCCGGAAGAGGAGAAUGGAAUUCCUGGUGUAGCGGUGAAAUGCGCAGAUAUCAGGAAGAACACCCGUGGCGAAGGCGGGUCUCUGGGCCGUAACUGACGCUGAGGCGCGAAAGCCAGGGGAGCGAACGGG
rnacentral:rRNA from 1 species